rnacentral:piRNA from 1 species
GAAAGGACGGAGGCGGCCCGCGC